CCUACGGGAGGCUGCAGUGAGGAAUAUUGGUCAAUGGGCGCAAGCCUGAACCAGCCAAGUCGCGUGAGGGAUGACGGUCCUAUGGAUUGUAAACCUCUUUUGUCGGGGAGCAAGGCCGGCCACGUGUGGCGGGAAGGAGAGUACCCGAAGAAAAAGCAUCGGCUAACUCCGUGCCAGCAGCCGCGGUAAUACGGAGGAUCCGAGCGUUAUCCGGAUUUAUUGGGUUUAAAGGGAGCGUAGGUGGAUUGUUAAGUCAGUCGUGAAAGUUGGGGGCUCAACCGUCAAAGUGCAGUUGAAACUGGCAGUCUUGAGUACGGGAGAGGUGUGCGGAAUGCGUGGUGUAGCGGUGAAAUGCUUAGAUAUCACGAAGAACUCCGAUUGCGAAGGCAGUUCACUGGACUGCAACUGACACUGAGGCUCGAAAGUGUGGGUAUCGAACAGGAUUAGAUACCCGAGUAGUC
rnacentral:rRNA from 1 species